GCCAGUUAGAUUUCUUUUUCGCUGCAAACUAUUCAAGACACAUCGCAAGGUGUUUGAUGCCUUUUUUUAUCCAGUGAGCUCUGCGGGGCCUCCAAACGUUCAAAACGACCAAAAUUGAAAUCUCUGAAAGUUACUUCUCUCCACAAGACUGCGGAAGAAUUGAAAACUGAUGCUCGAGAGAAUCAUUCUAGAGCCAUUUUUCAGUGUGGAAUUUUGUGAGCAUUCCCUGCGGAUCGUUCCUGUUUCAUCGCCCUCUACGAGCUGGGAGCACCUUUGUUCAGGCAACAAUGCAGUGACACUAGAUGCCGGUGACAGAGAUCGUCUUACAUAACGACCAUACACCACUUUAGAAAGUGUUCCUCCUGACGCUGCAGUAAUUACUCCUAAUAGAGAUUUAAUAGUGAUGUCCUGCAUCCAGACGCCAGACUGUAUCUAAUCUGCGGCUCCAAGUUUGACAUCUGCACAUGACACAGGCAUCGCUACAUUUAGAAGAUAGGUAAGUGAAACUAGACCACAGAGACAGUACAAAAAGUCAUUUCUGUUAAUCUGUUGCGGAUUUCUCUUUUCUGUUAAAUAUAGUAAACCUUGCACUUAGAUAAUAA